AUUGAACGCUGGCGGAAUGCUUUACACAUGCAAGUCGAGCGGCAGCAUAGGUGCUUGCACCUGAUGGCGAGUGGCGAACGGGUGAGUAAUACAUCGGAACGUGCCCAGUCGUGGGGGAUAACGUAGCGAAAGUUACGCUAAUACCGCAUACGAUCUAAGGAUGAAAGCGGGGGACCGUAAGGCCUCGCGCGAUUGGAGCGGCCGAUGUCAGAUUAGGUAGUUGGUGAGGUAAAGGCUCACCAAGCCGACGAUCUGUAGCUGGUCUGAGAGGGCGACCAGCCAAACUGGGACUGAGACACGGCCCAGACUCCUACGGGAGGCAGCAGUGGGGAAUUUUGGACAAUGGACGCAAGUCUGAUCCAGCCAUUCCGCGUGCAGGACGAAGGCCUUCGGGUUGUAAACUGCUUUUGUACGGAACGAAAAAGCUCUUACUAAUACUAGGAGUCCAUGACGGUACCGUAAGAAUAAGCACCGGCUAACUACGUGCCAGCCGCCGCGGUAA
rnacentral:rRNA from 1 species